GUACUCAGGCAGUACAUAUACUAAUAUUGGAACAGUACAGAGAAGAUUAGCAUGGUCUUUAUGCAAGGAUGACAUACAGAUUUGUGAAGCAUUCCAUAUUUUA